rnacentral:tRNA from 2 species
GCUUCAGUAGCUCAGUUGGUUAGAGCACCUGACUGUUAAUCAGGGGGUCGUUGGUUCAAGCCCAUCCUGAAGCGCUA